CUCGAGUAUGUGUAGCUGUUGUAAAUAUGGACAAACAUCAAUAUGUAGGAUUUAGGUGGGCAAGCUAUGAGUAUAUUCUUGCCCAUAAAGAACCUACAUUACAUUA
rfam:Corchorus capsularis cultivar CVL-1 contig13446, whole genome shotgun sequence.